AUACGGAGGAUGCGAGCGUUAUCCGGAUUUAUUAGGUUUAAAGAGUGUGUAGGCGGUAUUUUAAGUCAGUGGUGAAAUCUUUCAGCUUAACUGAGAAACUGCCAUUGAUACUGGAAUACUUGAGUAUAGUUGAGGUAGGCGGAAUAUGUAAUGUAGCGGUGAAAUGCAUAGAUAUUACAUAGAACACCGAUUGCGAAGGCAGCUUACUAAACUAUUACUGACGCUGAUGCACGAAAGCGUGGGGAGCGAACAGGAUUAGAAACCCUAGUAGUCC
rnacentral:rRNA from 1 species